UCGAGAAUUUUUCUCAAUGGGCGAAAGCCUGAAGGAGCGACGCCGCGUGGGGGAUGAAUGGCUUCGGCCCGUAAACCCCUGUCAUUCGGGAUCAAUGCGUCUGGGUGAACAACUCAGACGUUGAUAGUACCGGAAGAGGAAGGGACGGCUAACUCUGUGCCAGCAGCCGCGGUAAUACAGAGGUCCCAAGCGUUGUUCGGAUUUACUGGGCGUAAAGGGUGCGUAGGUGGUUGGGUAAGUUUGAUGUGAAAUCUCCGGGCUUAACCCGGAAAAUGCAUUGAAUACUAUCCAGCUUGAGGAUUGGAGGGGGGACUGGAAUGCUCGGUGUAGCAGUGAAAUGCGUAGAUAUCGAGCGGAACACCAGUGGCGAAGGCGAGUCCCUAGACAAUUCCUGACACUGAGGCACGAAAGCCAGGGGAGCAAACGGGAUUAGAUACCCCCGUAGUCC
rnacentral:rRNA from 1 species